UUAUAGGUGUGUUCAUUAGUGACAUUGGUUCAGGGUUAGUUGUUGCCUUGAGCCAAAUCUUGCCAGAGUAGGCACUGACUUAGCUUAACAGUAAACUCGAUAAAUCAGAAAAUAAAACCUGCUUGUAAGUUCAUUUAUAUUUCAAUCUAAGCAACAUUAUUGUUUCCAGUUUAAUAGUUUCAUAGUAUAUGGCAAGUGGGGAGUUUUUCUUUAUCCUUUUGUCAAUGCUGGUUAAAUUGUCAGAAUGAACACAUCUUUCUUUGUACUUUUAGGCUUCUUUGCAUCAGUUUGGGUUUUCAGAGAAGCAGUGAAGUUAUCGUCUCCUGUUAGAAGUCAUUUUUUAUACUUCAACAAAUCUGCUCUUUGUUCUGAUAUACAGUAACUGUUUGUAAAGCCUAUAAAUAAUGUUUUAAAAAGUCAAGUUAAUAAUGGCUGCAGAAAAGUUUAAGGUCAUUUUGCAUCAAGCCUACAAAAUUGCUGCAGAUAAGAAAAUAUUCCAUGAAUUAAUCCUUACAAGAUUGUCCAACAGGAUAUAACCAGUUCCUUAAUCUGAGUCCUGGGCACCCACUGUGCCUGUAGAUUUUUAAAAAGAUGAUUUUCUUAAUUGGAUGCCAUUUUUGCUAUUAAUGCAGUAUGUUUUUUCAUGCUGUCAUUUUGUAUGGAUUCUUAGAGAAGCAGUCUACAUUUACUUCUUUGUUACUUCAAGAAGAUGAAUCCUUCUGGCAUAACUCAAUCACCAUAUUCUUUUUCUCAAUUUAUUUUGCCUUUUGUUAAUCUUUAAACCCCUUAAAUGCCACUUUUAUUUUUCUUAAACUUGUAACAGCAAUAGUGGAUACUGAUAAGUAGAGCAGCUAUCAUGAUUUUGCAUCAAGGUGUCUUAAUAAUAUAGCCAUUUAAAUAUAUUGUUUAGGGAAAGAAAAAAAAAAGUAUAAGCUGAGGCAUACUAAUCCACUACAGUUAAUAUAUUAUUUUUAUUAAUUUUCUCAAAAAAGUAAAACAGACAAGAACAAGUCGUUUAGUUAAGUGGGGCAAAUCAAUAAGAACUGGCUUUUAUGUAAGCAACCAUUUGAAACCAAAACUUACAGCCAAGACCAAGAA